rnacentral:tRNA from 1 species
GGUCCUGGGGUGUUAACACGUGCGGUUGCAAACCGCAAAACGCAGGGUAAUACCUGCCGGGACUU